rnacentral:lncRNA from 1 species
UCACAGCAGUCUGAGCUUAUCUGUUUUGUCUUUCCCUACCUUGCCCACCAGUGAUCGAUGGCCUGGAUUUGCUGAAGAAGGAACACCCAGGGGCCCGGGAUGGGAUUCGGUACCUGGAGGCAGAGUUUAAAAAAGGAAACAGGUACAUUCGCUGCCAGAAAGAGGUGGGAAAGAGCUUUGAGCGGCAUAAGCUGAAGAGGCAGGAUGCAGAUGCCUGGUAACAUUUUAGCCCUCACCCCUAGAACCUCAGGCCACCUGCCUUGCUCCUCCACGAGCAUUCCUAGGGAGAACGGGUAGGGCUGGAUAAUUCUGAGGCUCCACACGUAGCCUGCCAGGGCCCUCCUGCAGGCCUCACCUUGCGAGGAGUACGAAGUUGCCGCAGCACCUGAGCUUUUCCUCUGCAGAUGGGUCAGCCUCUUUGGGCCUUGCGAUGCUCAGGCUUGGUGUUUUCCCUCAAUGCACCUUUGCCUGCUCCCCAUAUGUCUCCAGGGCCAGCUUCCAGGGCCCACUGCUGCUCACUGCCCUCCCAGCCCCCAGCUGC